rnacentral:lncRNA from 1 species
UUAUACUCGCUCCGUCCAAAAUAAACCAAUUUUUCACUUUUUACCUAUAAUUUUAUAAUUUUUGACUUUUCGUUUUAUUUAAUUUUUUUUUACGAUUGAUAUUUUUUAUUAAAUGAUAAAUCAUGAAUAGUACUUUACGUGUGAUUAUUUUUUUUUAAUUUUUUGAAAAUUUUUCAAAUAAAACGGAUGGUCAAAUGCUGGACACAAAAAUCGAAGAAUUGAUUUUUUUUAGCAGAGGGAGUAGAUACAUGCGUCCGUUCACGACUACCGGUACUUUAUCAGAGAACAUCUAAAUUAAUUUCCCAGAUGACAAAUAAAUUAAGCGACAGCAAUUACAAAUUAUUCAAUAUCCAGCUAGCAAUACAAGCUAGCUAGCUGUAUGCAUGCAUGAUGCAUCAGGGCAUGCUGUUGUCUAUUCGAUAUAUACAGAGACAGCUAAAUAGAUAAUUUGUAUAAUAGAUUGUCUAUUGACUUUCUGUAGCAUAUUUAAUACUUUAUUUUUUAUUUUGGUAUUUGUUACAUGCAACUGAUGUAUGAAGUAUUUCUCCACUAAAAGAUUACAUGCGACUUGGAAGCACGAACGAUGAGACAUUAAUUCAGUUUUUAUUAAGUUAAUGAUGUCACGUAGGAUAGCUAAUCUGACGUGAACAUAUACAGACAGUUGUUAUUACAUACCCUCGAUAUCUUACGACAUCAAUGGUAGUCAGUCGCCGGGAAAGAGGAGAGCAAGCGAGAGAAGAUAAAGGAAUAAAGAAGAAGAGAAAAAACCUGACAUGUAGGGUUCACCGUAUGCCACGUCAGCAAAAGCCAGGUAAGAAUAAGGUAAUACUGCUGAAUGAUUUUUUUAACGGUUUAUGCUAGUUUAUAAUAUAUAUUUUGAAUUUAAGGUUAAAAAAAUUGAAGGAUUUCCGGUGAACUUAUUCCUCUGCGGUAACUUAUUCCUUCUCUGACCCACUGCAGAGGCGUCGUUUGGAUCGGACAUGGACACGGUGAACACUGCAGAGGCCCAACACGGGCUCUCCAGCCAACCACUGUUUAGCAAUUUCAUAUAUGCAUACGACGAAAUCUGAAUUUUUAGAGCUUCAUUUUUGGAGUUGGUUUUUAGGUUUUUUAUAUUAAUCUGUAACAUUCGUCUACAAUAAGCA